UACGUAGGGGGGCAAGCGUUGUCCGGAUUUAUUGGGCGUAAAGCGCUCGCAGGUGGUCCGUUGCGUCGUGCGUGAAAGACCCCCGGCUCAACUGGGGGAUGUCGUGCGAUACGGGCGGACUAGAGUGAUGUAGGGGAGACUGGAAUUCCUGGUGUAGCGGUGAAAUGCGCAGAUAUCAGGAGGAACACCGAUGGCGAAGGCAGGUCUCUGGGCAUUAACUGACG
rnacentral:rRNA from 1 species